GCCAGAAUAGCUCAGUCGGUAGAGCAUGAGACUCUUAAUCUCAUGGUUGUGGGCUUGAGUCCUGCAUUGAAGAGUAGGGGUU